UACGUAGGGUGCAAGCGUUGUCCGGAAUUAUUGGGCGUAAAGAGCUCGUAGGCGGUCUGUCACGUCGGCUGUGAAAACCUGGGGCUCAACUCCGGGCCUGCAGCCGAUACGGGCAGACUAGAGUUCGGCAGGGGAGACUGGAAUUCCUGGUGUAGCGGUGAAAUGCGCAGAUAUCAGGAGGAACACCGGUGGCGAAGGCGGGUCUCUGGGCCGAAACUGACGCUGAGGAGCGAAAGCGUGGGGGAGCGAACAGG
rnacentral:rRNA from 1 species